AUUGAACGCUGGCGGCAGGCCUAACACAUGCAAGUCGAACGGUAGCACAGAGAGCUUGCUCUCGGGUGACGAGUGGCGGACGGGUGAGUAAUGUCUGGGAAACUGCCCGAUGGAGGGGGAUAACUACUGGAAACGGUAGCUAAUACCGCAUAACGUCGCAAGACCAAAGUGGGGGACCUUCGGGCCUCACACCAUCGGAUGUGCCCAGAUGGGAUUAGCUAGUAGGUGGGGUAAUGGCUCACCUAGGCGACGAUCCCUAGCUGGUCUGAGAGGAUGACCAGCCAAACUGGAACUGAGACACGGUCCAGACUCCUACGGGAGGCAGCAGUGGGGAAUAUUGCACAAUGGGCGCAAGCCUGAUGCAGCCAUGCCGCGUGUAUGAAGAAGGCCUUCGGGUUGUAAAGUACUUUCAGCGGGGAGGAAGGCGAUGAAGUUAAUAACUUCACCGAUUGACGUUACCCGCAGAAGAAGCACCGGCUAACUCCGUGCCAGCAGCCGCCGUAA
rnacentral:rRNA from 1 species